GACGAACGCUGGCGGCGUGCUUAACACAUGCAAGUCGAACGGAAAGGCCCUGCUUUUGUGGGGUGCUCGAGUGGCGAACGGGUGAGUAACACGUGAGUAACCUGCCCUUGACUUUGGGAUAACUUCAGGAAACUGGGGCUAAUACCGGAUAGGAGCUCCUGCUGCAUGGUGGUGGUUGGAAAGUUUCGGCGGUUGGGGAUGGACUCGCGGCUUAUCAGCUUGUUGGUGGGGUAGUGGCUUACCAAGGCUUUGACGGGUAGCCGGCCUGAGAGGGUGACCGGCCACAUUGGGACUGCGAUACGGCCCAGACUCCUACGGGAGGCAGCAGUGGAGAAUAUUGCACAAUGGGCGGAAGCCUGAUGCAGCAACGCCGCGUGCGGGAUGACGGCCUUCGGGUUGUAAACCGCUUUCGCCUGUGACGAAGCGUGAGUGACGGUAAUGGGUAAAGAAGCACCGGCUAACUACGUG
rnacentral:rRNA from 1 species